AAAAAAUCCUGAUACUUUAAACUUCAUAAAUAAACUUUAAUAUCUGUAUUCAAGUGUUUUUGUAAUACUGUGGGUUGCAGUUUUCACUCAGUAGCCUUUUUUAUGCAGUAAACAACAUGUACAGAACAAUAAAACAAACAAAAUACAAGCUCAUACAUUUCACGUGCACAUAUAUGCCACGUGACAAAAUGCAUGAAAGAGUUCCUCACAUCAGCCACCAACCAUGUAUCAAUGAAAAAAUAAUAUACAAACUUACAGAAAUACAGCGACGACACAUUAUGUUUAACGUUAAAUCAAAUUCAUUUCAAAUCGGUUUAAUUAAAAUGUCUCUCUCUGAUCUUCCUCUGAUGCGAUUGGCCACGCAAGGAGUUCUGCCUGGCAACAAGAAAACUAAUGCACUAAUUGGUGGAUUUCAAAAUUGGUGAUUUUCGCAUCGUCUGUUGCUGCUGCUGACACAAGUUCAAAUCUCAAGACGGGAGGUUUUCUUUGUGUAACAUUCUCGAUCAAGUUCAACAGAAAAAAACCUAAAACAGGAUUUCUACUUCUACAGAACAUACAGUUCAUGGACCUUUUUACAGCCAAAAGGGGGACUCCUGGUCAGUACUUGGCUAACGUUUGAAAUCAAAUAAAGCCAACGGAGGUCCGAACCCUUGGGAUUCGAGGACAACCUAUCAUGCUUGGAGAUGAUGGUGACUCUGGGAUUAAGGUGUCUGAUCAUCGCAACUCCAUCCUUAAUGUGCCAGUGGGCAUCUUAUUUGAGGACACUAAACUUCAGCCCCCCAAUUCCUUGUAUUUAACUUCUACGAUUGGAAUAAUACUUGAAGGACAAGUGGUGAUUGAAAAAACGCAGGACCUCCCACAGGCUAUGUGUCUCCUCUUCGGUCUGAUCUACGCUGUCUGAUCUACGUGUGCUAAUGUCAAUGGGACAGUAUUCUCUCAAGCCUAAAUUGCAGUCUCUGGCAAACCAGCUUUUUGUUUAAAAAACGUCACUGUGAGACUUUAACACCACUCUGAGAAAUGUUCUACAAAUGAUUUGCAGAAGAUACAGUACUGUAAUAUUGUGCAAAUAUUUGGUCAAAGACACUGACUAUGGUCACUAUGCUUUACUUAGUUUGCUGUGAUUUCAUAAAGCUUAAACAAGUAAAAUGUAAAAACAAUGUACAUUACGUGUACAUGUUCAGUACAUUUACAAAAAUUUGAGACUUAAAUGUAAUGUGUAAGUGAUCAGAGUUGUACAAUUGAUAGUGCACUACUUAAUGUUGGAUACUGUUGCCACAUUUAGAGUUAUGUACAGGGUGUGACUCAUUUCCAUUUGAAAUUUUGGUCAAUAAAGACUCAAAGGAUCAAUAUGUUGUUCAUUGUUUUAUGUAAGUGCAGUGUGCACACAGCUUACAGUCAAAAAUAUGAGCUUUAAAAUUUUGAAAUAAAAUUACAGUUAAAUUUU